CAAAAACAGUCAAAGCGCCAUUUUUACAUUUGUACGGAAAAACAAAAGUAACACCACUUAUGUGAAUGAAAUAUUUGUGCCUAGAGCCACUGUGACCACAGAAACAAGAAGGAGGCCCUAUGUGGGAUGAAUUUUCCUCCUGAUGUCCCAUAUGACUCAUCCUGCUGUAGUGUCCAUGCUGGACUUACCGAAAAGUUGUCGAUGAAGGCUGUCACUACCGCUGGAUCGCCGCAAGUGAUGGCGCCAUCGACAUCACAGAAACAGCGCAGGCUGCCGCCGUACCAACGCGACCCCAAGCGGCAGAGAUUGUCCGACAUGAUCAACAGUUCUUGUGAGGUGUCCUCCUUCUGGCUGUCCUGGAAACCAGUAAGAUCCUCUUUUCCGGAUAUGGAUAUAUCCCCGUGCUUCUCCGCCUUCUUCAGAGCCUUGUGGUGGCCGCCCUCUUGUGCCCUGACGAACUCGUACGUCACAUCCGGAAAGCGCAGGUCUAGGCGGUGGGCAGAGAAGGCGCGUCGGUCAAUGACUUCGGCCGUGCAGGACGGCACGCCGUCCGGCCCGCAGAUGCAGCGUUCGUCCGCCAGGCAGGGAACCGGGUGAUGGUGGAGGUGAUGGCAGGUGGCGUCCAGGCGACAUGUGAUGCCGUUGCGUCGACAACGACACUUGUAGCAGCCGUCAGACCAGCGCUGGCCGACGAGGGGACAGGGCGCAACUUUCUUCACGAGACCUGGUACAGAUGUGAAUGUCGGGAUGUUCCCUUUAAAGACUGUUUGCACACAGAUGAGCUCUCUAUGCAGAUGGAUAAUACCGGUGACGAAGACCACAGGAACCAGAAGCCCAGAAAUCAGUCAUCCGACUAGAGAAGUGUCCUUAACGAAGACCUGCGGCAUUCCAUCGCUUAAAACCAUUUCACAAGACUCGCC